rnacentral:rRNA from 1 species
GAUGAACGCUGGCGGCGUGCCUAAUACAUGCAAGUCGAGCGGACGGACGAGAAGCUUGCUUCUCUGAUGUUAGCGGCGGACGGGUGAGUAACACGUGGAUAACCUACCUAUAAGACUGGGAUAACUUCGGGAAACCGGAGCUAAUACCGGAUAAUAUUUUGAACCGCAUGGUUCAAAGGUAAAAGACGGUCUUGCUGUCACUUAUAGAUGGAUCCGCGCUGCAUUAGCUAGUUGGUAAGGUAACGGCUUACCAAGGCAACGAUGCAUAGCCGACCUGAGAGGGUGAUCGGCCACACUGGAACUGAGACACGGUCCAGACUCCUACGGGAGGCAGCAGUAGGGAAUCUUCCGCAAUGGGCGAAAGCCUGACGGAGCAACGCCGCGUGAGUGAUGAAGGUCUUCGGAUCGUAAAACUCUGUUAUUAGGGAAGAACAUAUGUGUAAGUAACUGUGCACAUCUUGACGGUACCUAAUCAGAAAGCCACGGCUAACUACGUG